rnacentral:miRNA from 10 species
CUGGUUGCAGUUGGUGCAUAG